GUGAUCCAUAGGCUGGGUGGGUCCAGGAAUCCAGAAGAACCAGAAAUGUGAAGUUCCAGGAAACGGAACAUUUAAGGGUUGUUAUUUUUAUUCAGGUAGGGAGCCAGCAGUGGUGGACCUUGAGGCCUCAAAUUUCAGCGCAGUACCAAAAUUUGGCACCCCCUGAAUCCCAGAGCCAUUCUAAAUACAGUUGUACCUUGGAAGUCGAACGGAAUCCGUUCCAGAAGUCCGUUUGGCUUCCAAAACCAAAUCGCAGCUUCUGAUUGGCUGCAGGAAGCUCCUGCAGCCAAUCAGAAGUUGUGGAAGCCGUGCUGGACGUUCAGGUUCCCAAAGAACAUUUGCAAACCGGAACAAUCACUUCCAGGUUUGCGGCGUUCAGGAGCCAAAACGUCCGAGUUCCUGGGCGUUCAGGAUCCAAGGUAUGACUGUAAUAGUUGUGGUGCUUCCUAGUGGCACCCCCAAGUUCUGCACCCAGUGCGACUGAACCAGUUGUGCCCCCCAAAAUCCGCCUCUGGAGCCAGUAUGAGCUCUCUUAAGUAAAUACCAUUCCUCCCCAGUCCAGUACAGAAAAUCAGGUCCUGACACUUGUGUUGGGCCCAGCAUUAUUGGUUGUUGUGGUGGCCAUCAAAUCCUAAGCCACUCUAGACAAGGUGACUUCAGAGUGGUUUCCCCAACACCAAGUUCAUGAUCUCUGACACCACCUUUGUGUCCGCCUCCAUCAGCCCAAGUCUGGAGAUUGUUAUGUUAGUCCCUUACCUUUCUCGCCCUUAUCUGGCAACAGUGAUCCAUGCGGUGGUCACCUCCAGGCUUAAUUAUUGUAAUUCGCUCUAAGCAGGACUGCCCUUAAAGCUGACCCAGAAACUCCAGUGGGUGCAGAAUGCCACGUCGAGGCUCCUUACGGGUUCCUUGCCACGGGAUCACAUUCAUCCAGUGCUUUACCAACUGCACUGGCUCCCGGUGGAGUACAGGGUCAGGUUUAAGGUGCUGGUUUUGACCAUUAAAGCCCUAUGCGGCCUAGGACCCGUGUACCUACGGGACCGCCUCUCCUGGUAUGCCCCGCGGAGGACCUUAAUCUCCACAAAUGACAACAUUUUGGAGGUCCCAGGUCGCAAGGUGGUUAGAUUGGUCUCAAGUAGGGCCAGGGCCUUUUCAGUACUGACCCCGACUUGGUGGAACGCUCUGUCACAAGAGACCAGGGCCCUGCGGGACUUGACAUCUUUCCGCAGGGCCUGCAAGACAGAGCUGUUCCACCUGGCCUUUGGUUUGGACUCAGUCUGACCCUUAUGUUUCCCUCCCCUUAUGGUCUUGAUUUAUCGGCUACUUUUAAAAUGAGGCUGCAUUUUAAAUUGCAUUUUAACCUGUAUUUUAAACCCCCCCCCAUUAUGUUUUUUACUGUGAUUUUAUUGGUGUUAGCCGCCCUGAGUCCAGCUCUGGCUGGGGAGGGCGGGGUAUAAAUAAAAUUUAUUAUUAUUAUUAGUAGUAGUAGUAGUGGGGAAUCCCAACCCUGUAUUGGGAUUCCAACAGCAGUUCAAAACUGGCAGACUACUGGGCAGGGAACUCAGAAGCAGUGAUGGAAGAAAGCAGCAAGAUUCUGAACAGGAAGUUGCUGGCCCAGACCCUCCUCUCUAGGAUUUGCCUGGGACUCCAGAGAGUCACUGCUGCCAGUGACAAUACUGGGCUAGAUGGAUGAAUAUUCUGACCUAGUAUUAUGUAGUUUCCUUUGUAGAUAGCACAGCCUCUUUUUUAUUUUUUUGUCACAUGGAACUCAAUGGAAGCCAUGCCAGCCUCUCUCUGCAUAGCUCCACCCCUUCAUUUGCAUAACCUAGCCUCUGCUCUUUGGUGUAAAGAUGGAAUUCUGGCAACUGGCUCGUCUAUGCAUAUAUAUUUAAUCUAAGGAAUCCUUCGUUUUAUUGGUUACACAGAGGUUGUCGUACACGUGUCCCAAGCCCUUGGGAAAACGGUAGUGGCUAUGGAACAGGAUUAGAGAACUGCAAGUAGAUUUGGAAUACAGAAUAAAUGAACUGCCGGUGGACGUCUUGUGAAUUUGAUUGGAGUCAAAGUGAAGUUUUAGACUAGGAACUGGAUACCUCGGAAUGCUUGGCAGUCAUGUAUGCAUGUGUCAACUUGCAAGGCUGGGCCAUGUGCAUCUUGACAGAACUGCAAUUUCAUUAUAUUUGUUGUUGCUGAGUUUGUUUAAGCAGGAACUUCAGUAUGAUAAGUGAUUUGGGGGGGGGCAGAGAGGGAGCGAACUAAUCUGGAUCGUUCCCAACUUGGCAAGGCAAAGAGACCUUUGAGCCCAGCAAUUUGUCUUAAGUUUCAGGUUCUGGGAAUUACAAAAUAUUUCAGGAUCACCUAGAGCAGAGCAGGAUGAAAUUUGUUUGGGAGUGGCAGAAUUGCUUGGGCUGGGGGUGGAGACGAUAUCGAUGGAGAUGAACAAGGAAGCCCUUUAGAAGUAUUAUAUCUUCUGUUGUGAGCACACACUUGAAAAAAGGUUAGCAAUGAAGCAUCAACAUACUGCAAGAAGCAGAGACCAUUUAACAAUGCAGGAAAGUAUGAACAUGACAUCCCACAGAAACAGGAGAUUUACCGGCACAACCCUGUGCUUGCCUACUCAGAAGUAAUUCCCACUGAGGCUGCGUACGUGCCAUACAUUCAAAACACAUUUAAAGCACAUUUCUUCCCCUGAAUAAUCCAGAGAGCUGUAGUUUAUCCCCUGACAGAGCUACAUUUCCCAGCAAACUUAACAAACCAGUUCCCAGGAUUCUUUGGGAAAAGUGAUGUGCCGUAAAUGUGCUUCAAAUGUACAGUGUACACACAGCCUAAGUUCAGUAGGACUUAUAAUCAUAGAAGUGUAUAGUUGGAAGGGACCACAAGGGUGAUCUGGUUCAACCCCCUAAAAUGCAGAAAUCUCAGCUAAAGACUUGUUGUUGUUGUUGUUGUUGUUUAGUCGUCUAGUCGUGCCCGACGCUUCGUGACCCCAUGAACCAGAGCACGCCAGGCACUCCUGUCUUCCACUGCCUCCCCCAGUUUGGUCAAACUCAUGUUCGUAGCUUCGAGAACACUGUCCAACCAUACCGUCCUCUGUCGUCCCCUUCUCCUUGUGCCCUCCAUCUUUCCCAACAUCAGGGUCUUUUCCAGGGUGUCUUCUCUUCUCAUGAGGUGGCCAAAGUAUUGGAGACUCAGCUUCAGGAUCUGUCCUUCCAGUGAGCACUCAGGGCUGAUUUCCUUAAGAAUGGACAGGUUUGAUCUUCUUGCAGUCCAUGGGACUCUCAAGAGUCUCCUCCAGCACCAUAAUUCAAAAGCAUCAAUUCUUUGGCGAUCAGGCUUCUUUAUGGUCCAGCUCUCACUUCCAUAAAUCACUACUGGGAAAACCAUAGCUUUAACUAUACAGACCUUUGUCGGCAAGGUGAUACUCCCAGUUAAAUGCGUAGAAGGACUUUAGCCUUCAUAUAAGAACUGAGCCUUUCUGCACGUGUGAAAGAGCAUCUCACACAAUGUAUUGUAAUCCUCCUUCCCUCUUCAAGGAGAAUGUCACUAAAAACAUUUCAGACCUGCGUUAAAAGAUUAUUUAAUUGCAUUAGAAGCAGGAGCCAGGCUAGAAAGGAGGUUGGAUGUUGGGGUGAGAAGGGAGUCAAAGAUAUUUUGAAGAAGGAAAGGAGCUGAAUGGUUGCUGUUGUUUUUUGUCUACAUAGUGGAAGAUAUAUACAGUAGUACCUCGGGUUACAGAUGCUUCAGGUUACAGACUCCGCUAACCCAGAAAUAGUACCUCGGGAUAAGAACUUUGCUUCAGGAUGAGAACAGAAAUCGUGCUCUGGCGGCAUGGCAGCAGUGGGAGGCCCCAUUAGCUAAAGUGGUGCUUCAGGUUAAGAACAGUUUCAGGUUAAGAACAGACCUCUGGAACGAAUUUAGUUCUUAACUCGAGGUACCACUGUACCACAGAUCUCUGUGUCUGAACUAACCUUCUCAGGCAGGGUGUUUGAGGAAUGGAGGCAAGUAGUCUUGAAGACAAGAGAUCAAGUUCUAUGGCUUAUUGACAGUGGUACCUUGGGUUAAGAACUUAAUUCGUUUUGGAGGUCUGUUCUUAGCCUGAAACUGUUCUUAACCUGAGGCACCACUUUAGCUAAUGGGGCCUCCUGCUGCCGACACACGAUUUCUGUUCUCAUCCUGAAGUAAAGUUCUUAACCCGAGGUACUAUUUCUGGGUUAGCGGAGUCUGUAACCUGAAGUGUCUGUAACCUGAAGUGUCUGUAACCUGAAGAGUCUGUAACAUGAGGUACCACUGUAUUUAAAACAAACACAUUGUUGGGUCUAGAGGUCACCUAACUAAUCGUUCUUUAAAGAAUGCAAAUGUGAAAUUGCUGGUUUUCUAACAAUAAGUGGCAACUUGUACCUAAGGCUGGGUGUCACACCUGAGGACUGAAAAAUCCCAGUUUUAAAAAUGGGACUCAGUUGCUGGUCUAGUCAGCUUUCAAUGAAGGAUACUAUCUUGCAUUUUGUUUCAGGGAACAAAAUGGCUUGGGCCAGUCUUGCAAGGCUUGAGUUUGAUUCAUAUCAUUCAUCUCUCUUUCUCUCUCUUUCAAAUUAGAUUAAGCUGGCCAAUGUCAUAAAUGUUUCUUCUAGAAUAAAACGCCUCUGAGCAAAUGGGCAAUCUCUCUUUGCUUUUGGGUGGCUCUCCUUGCAACAUAUUUUCCCCAUUAACUUAGUAGUAAAGUCAAUUGGCAGCGAUGAAUCUUCUUCAUUAAUUUCUUUGUUGGCAAACUUUAUCUCUCUUUCGUAAUUAGUGACUGGGUGGAAUUUGCUGGAAGGAGUGAGGAUGAUGGUCUCUUGUGGUUUGAAAUCUGGAACUGAUGUGAAUGACGCUAAAAGUUAAUUUUGUCAUCAUUAAUGAUGAAUAAGAUUUUCCUUAUGUUUUCACUUCAAGAAAAAGGAAAAGAAAUAAUGGAAAGUUAAGUCCGAUUUGUUUGUCCUGUAUUUUUAUGGUUGGGGAUGGGGAGAUAAACUUGGGAAUUAGGGCCAUAUGUUUUAGCUAUAGAUUAAUCAACCAAGCUUAAGUUGAUUUACUGAUGGGAACUUCCCCCUUCCUCCAUGUUAACAGGACCAGGUUCUAACAUAGUGUUGUUGUUUAGUCAUUUAGUCAUGUCCGACUCUUUGUGACCCCAUGGACCAGAGCACGCCAGGCACUCCUGUCUUCCACGGCCUCCCCCAGUUUGGUCAAACUCAUGCUGUUAGCUUGGAGAACACUGUCCAACCAUCUCGUCCUCUGUCGUCCCCUUCUCCUUGUGCCCUCCAUUUUUCCCAGCAUCAGGGUCUUUCCCAGAGAGUCUUCUCUUCUCAUGAGGUGGCCAAAGUAUUGGAGACUCAGCUUCAGGAUCUGUCCUUCCAGUGAGCACUCAGGGCUGGUUUCCUUCAGAAUGGAUAGGUUUGAUCUUCUUGCAGUCCAUGGGACUCUCAAGAUUCUCCUCCAGCACCAUAAUUCAAAAGCAUCAAUUCUUUGGUGAUCAGCCUUCUUUAUGGUCCAGCUCUCACUUCCAUACAUCACUACUGGGAAAACCAUGGCUUUAACUAUAUGGACCUUUGUUGGCAAUGUGAUGUCUCUGCUUUUUAAGAUGCUGUCUAGGUUUGCCAUCGCCUUUCUCCCAAGAAGCAGGCAUCUUUUAAUUUUGUGGCUGCUGUCACCAUCUGCAGUGAUCAUGGAGCCCAAGAAAGUAAAAUCUCUCACUGCCUCCAUUUCUUCCCCUUCUAUUUGCCAGGAGGUGAUGGGACCAGUGUCCAUGAUUGGCAAGGCAGUGAUCCAUGAAGGGGAACAUAGUGUAGUCCCCCCUAAAUACAGGACUUACUGCAGAAUCCUAUGGAUAAACAAUAAGAGGGGCCAAGGCACUAUUGAUCUGGUCUGGGGCCUGAGCUGGAUCGCUCAAUGCCCCAAAGAGGAUUGAGGGCCUUGCACAACCCUAAAGUUGUGCAUCAAAGUUGGGGAGAGGAAGAGCCAAUGUAGGCAGAGUAUUGCUUGCACCGCCUCCUUCUCCCAAACUCCCUGCCAUCCUUAACACCCCCCUACAAGUUUAAUAACACCCCCCACCUUUCCACUGUGUUACAGGCCACUCCAAUCUCUGCCAAGUGGUAGCAAGGUUCCAGGGGUCUUGGCACUUAACCAGGGCUUGUCUCCCUUUAGAGUGAGGCAUGACAGAGACUGUAGUGUCUUUAUGAUAUAUGGUUUUAUUUAUACAUAUAUACAACUUAGCCUUGAUGGAGCAUCACGCUCCAAGGGUCCCUCUUGUUGCUCUCCUCAUAACUUCAGCAAGCUUGGGUCCAGCCAUUCUUCCUGGUCUUUGCAUGCAGGUUCCUCUAGCCCAGGCACAGGCAAAUUCGAUCCUCCAGAUGUUUUGAGACUACAAUUCCCAUCAUGCCUGACCACUGGUCCUGUUAGCUAGGGAUGAUGGGAGUUGUAGUCCCCAAAACAUUUGGAGGGCCGAGUUUGCCUAUGCCUGCUCUAGCCAUCAUCACAUGGUGUUCCGACCUCUCCCCUUUUCUUCUGCAAGCCCCUUGCUCCAAGCCCCGUGUAAAAAGGGGCAGCUUUUUUCCUGUGGUGACACCUCCCCAGACCACACCCACUCCCGAGUCACAUGCCCUUUCCCCAUGCCACGCCUCUUACCAGCCUUGUGUCACACCCUCCUUCUGGUUGGUUGAUUUUUUGGAAGUGUAUUUAUUUAUUUCUCACAUCUAUACUCCACCUAUUCCUCCGAGGAGUUCAAGGUGGGGUUAAAGGAUUUUCCCUCUCCUCAUUUAAUCCAAACAGCAACCCUGUAAGGCUGAGAGGCAUUGACUGGGGCCAAGGUGAGUCUCAUGGCUAAGUGGGGAUUUGAAUCCUGAUCUCCCAGGUCCUAGUCUGACACUCUCAACCAGUGUUUUUCAAACUUGGGUCUCCAGCUGCUGUUGGACUACAACUCCCAUCAUCCUUAGCUAGCAGGACCAGUGGCCAAGGGAUAAUGGGAGUUGUAGUCCAACAGCAGCCGGGGACCCAGGUCUGAGGAGUGUUCUUCAAACUUGGGUCUCCAGCUAUGGUUGGACUACAACUCCCAUCAUCCCUAGCUAGCAGGACCAGUGGCCAGGGGAUGAUGGGAGUUGUAGUCCAACAGCAGCCGGGGACCCAAGUUUGAGGAGUGUUCUUCAAACUUGGGUCUCCAGCUAUGGUUGGACUACAACUCCCAUCAUCCCUAGCUAGCAGGACCAGUGGCCAGGAGAUGAUGGGAGUUGUAGUCCAACAGCAGCUGGGGACCCAAGUUUGAGGAGUGUUCUUCAAACUUGGUUCUCCACUUAUGGUUGGACUACAACUCCCAUCAUCCCUAGCUAGCAGGACCAGUGGCCAGGGGAUGAUGGGAGUUGUAGUCCAACAGCAGCCGGGGACCCAAGUUUGAGGAGCACUGCUCUGAAUAUCACACCAGUCUCUGAACUGUGAUAGUACCUGUUGCUCGCUUGGCCAAAGGACAGAGAGGGUUCGUGUAUGAGUGUAGAAACCCGCCCAUUUGUUCAAAGGUAACAUGACCUUUCACUGUUUUGCCCCAGACCCCUUCCAUUGCGAGCAUGAGGAUCCUGGAUGCUUUCCCAGGAAGGAAUGCAGCCUGCGGAGCUCAGGACUAUUGAUCUGAAGGCAAUCUCAGGCUGAGGACCAGGGAUUUUUUUGUCUCCAGCCAUAUGAGAAGCAUUACGCGGUGCAAAGGCCCUUGAGUGACAGCUCCCUCGGAGCGGCCUGUGUGAGUCAGCCCUGAGCUAUGCGUUUCUGAGUAGGUCAACUCUGGUUUAGGCAAUAAGUUGCAGCUCCCGGAAGGAUUGGAUUAGAGGGGUUUAAAGACAGGGCUGCGGAUCUGCUCAAACCCAAGGCCAAAUGGGACAGAGCUUCAACACAACAGGGGAGGUCUCCGGCCUUAAAAGGCCAGUUACUCAUGAGCAAGCAUCUCCGAUGGGGCGUCCCAAGAGCAAACUUCUUGGGUGUAACUUAUUUCAUACCCUUACUGGAAUAUGAUGCUAGCAUGCAAAUAACAUCCGAUGGGCAGUCAGUGGAGAGAGGCGAUGUCGUGUGGCCUCCAGCUCGG